ensembl:lncRNA
CUCUGUGAAGAAAAGUCGCUCAGUCAUGUCCGACUCUUUGCAACCCCAUGGACUGUAGCCCUGCCAAGCCCCUCUAUCCAUGAGAUUUUCCAGCACUUGAGGCACAGGGUUUGCGGCAAAGUUAAUUAUCACCUAGAUAUGAAGACUGAAGAUGCCAAGACUGUAAACAGAAGUCAGAAAUUAUGGCUCCAGGCCUCCUAUUCUCUGCUGAUUUACUCAGUUGUCAUCUUCCUUUUGCCACCCAUUGCCCUACUUCUUCA